rnacentral:rRNA from 1 species
GACGAACGCUGGCGGCGUGCCUAAUACAUGCAAGUAGAACGCUGAAGGAGGAGCUUGCUUCUCUGGAUGAGUUGCGAACGGGUGAGUAACGCGUAGGUAACCUGCCUGGUAGCGGGGGAUAACUAUUGGAAACGAUAGCUAAUACCGCAUAACAGUAGAUGUUGCAUGACAUUUGCUUAAAAGGUGCAAUUGCAUCACUACCAGAUGGACCUGCGUUGUAUUAGCUAGUUGGUGAGGUAACGGCUCACCAAGGCGACGAUACAUAGCCGACCUGAGAGGGUGAUCGGCCACACUGGGACUGAGACACGGCCCAGACUCCUACGGGAGGCAGCAGUAGGGAAUCUUCGGCAAUGGACGGAAGUCUGACCGAGCAACGCCGCGUGAGUGAAGAAGGUUUUCGGAUCGUAAAGCUCUGUUGUAAGAGAAGAACGAGUGUGAGAGUGGAAAGUUCACACUGUGACG